rnacentral:tRNA from 15 species
GCAUCUAGGGCUGAAUGGUCAAAGCGCCCAACUCAUAAUUGGGAAGUCACGGGUUCAAUUCCUGCUGGAUGCA